rnacentral:rRNA from 1 species
AUUGAACGCUGGCGGCAUGCUUUACACAUGCAAGUCGAACGGUAACAGGCCGCAAGGUGCUGACGAGUGGCGAACGGGUGAGUAAUGCAUCGGAACGUGCCCAGUCGUGGGGGAUAACGCAGCGAAAGCUGUGCUAAUACCGCAUACGAUCGAUGGAUGAAAGCGGGGGACCGUAUGGCCUCGCGCGAUUGGCGCGGCCGAUGUCAGAUUAGGUAGUUGGUGGGGUAAAGGCCUACCAAGCCGACGAUCUGUAGCUGGUCUGAGAGGACGACCAGCCACACUGGGACUGAGACACGGCCCAGACUCCUACGGGAGGCAGCAGUGGGAAUUUUGGACAAUGGGCGCAAGCCUGAUCCAGCAAUGCCGCGUGCAGGAAGAAGGCCUUCGGGUUGUAAACUGCUUUUGUACGGAACGAAACGGCCUGGGUUAAUACCCUGGGCUAAUGACGGUACCGUAAGAAUAAGCACCGGCUAACUACGUGCCAGCAGCCGCAGUAACAC